rnacentral:misc_RNA from 1 species
UUUUAUAUCCCUGUUAGCUGCGGGGCCGCGUCCAGGGAGGUGUACACCGUAUCUCCACUUUUCAGGCUGGGCUAGUUUAGGCUCCUCCCCUCCUUCCCGAAAGCCGCUCUCCUCUCGUUUUUUUUUUGUGUGGUUGUUGCCCACCGCGCGUCUGCGUGUGGAUCUCUGUGCAAGGGGCCCUAGAGGGUACUUAGGACACCCAAACGACGAUUAACGUCGCAAAGCAGCGCGAAAGGCCAUCCGCUGAACCCUCGGCACCGGUGCUCUCUCUCGCCGCGUGUGCCGGAGAGUCGCGAGAGAACCCGACGAGAGUGCGGGACUGUCACCACGCACUGAGAGACACGCGCCCUUGAACACCACCGCGUAUAGUAUUUUGGCUCCUCUCUGAUAGUGAGUCGCCUGCAUGUGUGUGCCUGUGCACGCCUGAAAAGUUGUGUCGCUGAUCGCUUCGUUGCUGCCGCUUCUUCGUCUGCGGAGUUUUCGUCGCUUAUCACGCAAUGGGCCUCACGCAGCAGUUCGUCAUCUCCAACGCAGACGUGGGUCGUGGACAUGUCGUGCAGGCGCUGCACCCGUCUGCGCCGCUGAUUGCGGUGACUGGCUCGAAGGGCCGGGUACUCAUCCUGAACAAGCUGGGCAAGGUGGAGCAUCAGUUCCCCAUGCCGGGUGUCGUGGACAUGGCGUGGGAGUGCGGCAGUGACACACUCGCCAUCAUCACUGGGAGCUCCUCUGAUGUACACCUGUACACGCAUCGCACACGCCACACUGACACCAUAGACACAAAGAUGAGCGACCUGCGCUUCAUCUGCUGGUCUCAUUCCCAGCCGCAGUUCGCUAUCGGCGCGAAGAGCGGUCAGUUUGUAGUGUACAACCGGAGGACGCUGCGACUUGUGCCGGUGGUGGGCACGCACACGCAGCAGCUUCUCUCCGGUGUGUGGACUCCCGCGCCGGACAGUCGUCUGUUGAUUAUCUCAGCAGACCGCAGUUUGUCCAUCUCUGACGCAGAGGGCAGCAUGCUGAAAACGAUUCCGUUACCUUCUGCACCGCAGUCUGUGUGUGUUUCGGGGACGGCCAGCUCGCCGAAGCGCUUGAGCCUCGCCGCCGUGAACCUCGGCAACGCGGUACUGGUUGUCAACCUUCGGUCGUUCUCAACGUCAGUCGGCCAAUUCAACACCGGGCUGGGCCUCAUUACAUCCCUGACUGCCGGCAUCAACGGCGAGUUCGUGGUAGGGUUCAAGAGUGGUGCGGUGGGUCUGCUGGACCUGGCCGGCAGUGAGGUGCGGCUGCGUAGCUCCGUGAGCCUGGCGAAGAGCGCCGUGCACAUGGUGAACUUCGGCGAAGGCAGCGGUCUCGUGGCGGCGGCCGCUGACAACCGUGUGCGGCUGCUGCGCAUCAACGAUGACGGUAUCGCUGCCACCGGCGACGAGGCAGCGUUUGAGUCGGACAAGGGCGUACCAGACUUGCUCACGUGGUCGAGAGAUGGUCAGCAGCUUCUCCUCGGCACGGACCAGGGCAAUGUUACCGUGUUCACGCUGAAAGUGUUGAACGUCAGCGCCUCCUUUGGCACGCUCGUCUUCUCCUUCAUCUCCACCCGCACGAUUGGGGUGAAAAACUUGCAGGACAACCGCAUGGUCUGCACGGUACCCGUGAACAGUGACCCGACCUUCAUUUCAGCUGGCAUGGCGAUGCUCGGCGUGGGCGCGAACAACCAGGUAUCCUACUACGAGUACUUCAUCCCCAAUAGCCUCCCCUACCCCAUGGCGGACCCGGCCGAGAAUGUGGCAGAGGCGUCGCAGCAGGCGCACUCGGGGCUCCUGCGGACGGUGGAUUACCCGUCAACGGUCACCGAUCUGAAAGUGAACUCGCAGCUGGCGGCAGUUGUGUACGAUGGACGAGUGCAGUUGAGCCCGAUCCGCGACACCCCACAGGCCGCUGCGCCGGUGUACUUCCCACAGAGCGGCGACACUCGCCUUGUGUCCAUCGGCCUGUCCGAGGCGUUUUUCCUCUACGCCACGACGAACCGCGUGAGCGUCUACGCGCUGCACAACCUCCAGCAGGUUGCAACGUUUACAUGCAACACGGGCCUUAAGCGCGCCUUUCCGAAUCCUGCCUGCACGCGCAUCGCCUACGUGGACGAGAGCAACGGCCUCUUCAACCUCAAUCUCGUGACGGAGGUCGCCAACAAGGCGGAGGGCUUUGAGCCGGACCAGAAGACGGUGCUGUGGGACCAGGCGGAAGCGACGGUGUUCAUCACGCACGACAGCCAGAAAUGCGUGACCUUUGUGAAUACGCCGCACAGCCGCCACGGCGCGACCUGUGAGUCGGUGCUGGUGAAGGACAGCACCAAUGACAACCUGUACACGCCGCUGCCACCGGGCUACACCCCCAUCACACUCUUUCGUGGCACGGUUGUGUGCCAGACGCCGAACGGGACGCUGGACACGGUGCCGCUGCAGACGCACACCAACAUCUUUUUGAGAACCCCCAACGCCGAGGCAUUCUACAAUAACUUCUCGCUGAAUCGGCUGCGGUGGUCGUCGAACAACAUUUCCACGCCGCAGGAAGCAGAGGACUUGGCUGUGAAAGCGCUGCACAUGCUGGAUGUGGAGCUUGCAAUCCGCGUCUAUCGGCAGCUAUCGCAGCCCAGCCUGGUGCUGUGUCUGGAGAAGAUCCGUCACAUCCACGAGAAGAACCUGCUGCUCGGCCACGUGUCGAUGAUCAUGGGGUACAUGAAGGACGCGCAGAACUUCUUUCUUCGCUCCUCGCAGCCGCUCUGCGCAUUGGAGAUGCGGCGCGACAUGAUGCAGUGGGAGCGCGCCCUCACCCUGGCAGCGCAGCUGGCGCCGGAAGAAGUGCCCGUCAUCUCGCGCGAGUACGCACAGCAGCUCGAAUACCGCGGCGUGUACGCGAAGGCGCUAGAGAUGUUUCAGCAAGGUCACCGCCAGCUGCCGACGGGCCAAGCGAGCACGGAGCUGUCGGUGACUGUGCAAGAGGUGGAGCGGCAUAACGAGCAGUGCCGGCAGGGUGCGGCCCGCUGCCAGAUUCGCACCGGCAACAUUGCCGACGCCAUGAAGAUCGCGAAGGAGUCGGCGGAGAUGUCGUUUGUGAAGGAGUGCGCCAAGCUUUGCGAGGACAACCAGAAGCACGAGGAGGCGGCGCAGCUCUACGAGAAGGCCGGCGACCUUGAGCGGGCGGCAACGAUCUACAUUGAGCGCUGCAAGAAUCUGAAGGCGGCGGCGCGUCUGCUGCCUCUCAUCAAGUCGCGCAACAUCAUCGGCAUCUACGCCCACGGCAAGGAGGCGGAGGGGGCUUUCGCAGAGGCCGAAAAGGCCUACCUGCAGGCCGAGGAUUGGGACAACGCGGUGCGGCUGAGGCUAGAGAAGCUGAACGACCUUCAUGGCGCCUACAUUAUUGUACGACAGACACGCUCCGCCAACGCGGCCGCCCUCGUUGCCAAGAAGUGCAAGUUGCAGAACGAGUAUGGCAUGGCGGUUGAGUUUCUCGUCCUGGCCAAGUCGUUGGACGAGGCCUUCGAGCUGGCAAAGGCGCAUGACUGCAUGUUCCACUUCGAGAGUGCCUUGCUGAACCAGGUGCAGCUGAAGGACGGCGUCGCCCCGCUCGCGAACCAGGCAGACUUCACAAUGAUCGCGGAGUACUACGACAAUGAGGGCAAGGCCGGACAGGCUGGCAUGUACUACCACAUUAGUGGCAACUACGCCAAGGCGCUCAAGAAGUAUCUCGAGUCAGGGCAGCCCGAGGAUAUCGAGAAGGCGGUGGAGGUAGUAGGCAAGGCGCACAGCGACAGCCUGACGAACAAGUUCAUCGACUACCUCAUGGGCGAGACAGACGGCGAGCCAAAGGAUCCAUCGUACAUCUUCAAGCUCUACUUAGCCAUGGGCAGCUACGAGAAGGCGGCGAAGACGUCUGUCAUCAUUGCGGCGAAGGAGCAGGAGAUGGGCAACUACAAGAGCGCGCACAAGACCCUCGUGGAGGCCUAUAGCAUUCUUCAGCAGAAGAACAUGCGUGUGCCGAACGACCUACGCCGCGCGCUGAUGCUGCUGCACUCCUACAUAAUCGUCAAGGACUUGCUCAAGAUCAUGAAGAAUGAAGACACGGCGUGCCGCAUGCUGCUGCGCGUGUCACGCAACAUACAGAAGUUCCCGAAGCACAUCGCCACCAUUGUCACCACUACCGUGCUGCAGUGCAUCAAGUCGAACUUCAAGAAGUCCGCCUUCGAGUACGCCUGCUUCCUCAUUCAGAACGAGAAGUACCGGACGGAGAUGACGGAGAAGUCGCGCAAGAAGGUCGAGGGCAUCGUGCGCCGCCAUAGCAAGGACGACGCUGUCGACCCAGUUGAACCGAUGCUACCCUGCCCCUACUGUGACGCGCCUGUUGCCGAGACGGAACUGGACUGUGGCGCCUGCAAGAACACGAUCCCUUUCUGCAUUGUGACGGGCAAGCACAUCGUAAAGAACGACUACACCGCGACCCCUUGCUGCGGCUUCCCUGCCACGUAUUCGGCCUUGAUGACGCGGCUGAGCGAGACGCUCACGUGCCCGAUUUGUGGGACAACCAUUGACAUUAGCAAGGUGAACCGUGAGGCCGAGCCGGAGUUGAAGGCGCUUCUCUAGAAGGGAAAAUGGAAUAUCUGCAGAGGUGAUGGUGGAUUGAGGCACGGGUUGCGCGACGGGAAGCAACGUCGACCACUUCGUGAACAACAGAUGUACAUACAGUCGGACAGAGUGAGAAGGCCAAAAAGGGUGGUGUGAAGAGGAGCACUUCCAGAUGGAAGGAACUGGUGUACCACUGUGCGCGAUGCACGUCUUCUUUCGCGUGUAUUCGGUGCAUCUGCACCGUGUUCUGUUUAUUUUUUUCCUUCGUUUCUUUUGUUACGUUUUGACGCGUUGCGCUGGCGAGCAGGAGUGUCCUCUCCUUUGUGUUUGCAUUCCUUACACAGGCGCGCAUAUGCUCUCUCUCUCUCUCUCACUGGAUGCUUAUCUACCGUGGACGAUUUUAGAAAAAAAAAACAAAGAACAUGGGUCACAUCUCGUCGAUGCGCAUGCGUGAGCAUGGCCGAAGUGUCGCAUUCCAUCGGUGCUUUCCCCUUAUCCCCUUCGUCUUCUCUCCUUUCUCUCUCUCCUCUCUCGGUGAUCUCGUUUUGAGACCGCGCAACAACGGAUACUGUGCAGGAAGAUGAGCAGCCUGCCGUCGCGGACAUCCACGCUAGCACG